rnacentral:rRNA from 1 species
GACGGAAGGUGCAAGCGUUGCUCGGAAUCACUGGGCGUAAAGGGUGCGUAGGCGGCCUGGUAAGUCUGGCGUGAAAGCCCAGGGCUCAGCCCUGGAAGUGCGCUAGAAACUGCGAGGCUCGAGUGCCGGAGGGGAGAGUGGAAUUCCUGGUGUAGCGGUGAAAUGCGUAGAUAUCGGGAGGAACACCUGUGGCGAAAGCGGCUCUCUGGACCACAACUGACGCUGAGGCGCGAAAGCUAGGGGAGCAAACAGGG